UACGAAGGGGGCUAGCGUUGCUCGGAAUCACUGGGCGUAAAGCGCACGUAGGCGGCUUUCUAAGUCAGGGGUGAAAUCCUGGAGCUCAACUCCAGAACUGCCUUUGAUACUGGGAAGCUCGAGUCCGGAAGAGGUGAGUGGAACUGCGAGUGUAGAGGUGAAAUUCGUAGAUAUUCGCAAGAACACCAGUGGCGAAGGCGGCUCACUGGUCCGGUACUGACACUGAGGUGCGAAAGCGUGGGGAGCAAACAGG
rnacentral:rRNA from 1 species